UACGAAGGGGGCUAGCGUUGCUCGGAUUGACUGGGCGUAAAGGGCGCGUAGGCGGUUCGUACAGUCAGACGUGAAAUUCCUGGGCUCAACCUGGGGGCUGCGUUUGAUACUGGAUGGCUUGAGAUUGGGAGAGGGAUGCGGAAUUCCAGGUGUAGCGGUGAAAUGCGUAGAUAUCUGGAGGAACACCGGUGGCGAAGGCGGCAUCCUGGACCAACACUGACGCUGAGGAGCGAAAGCCAGGGGAGCAAACGGG
rnacentral:rRNA from 1 species